rnacentral:rRNA from 1 species
CAAUAGCGUAUAUUAAAGUUGUUGCGGUUAAAAAGCUCGUAGUUGGAUUUCUGCUGAGAACGACCGGUCCGCCCUUUGGGUGUGUAUCUGGCUCUUUCUUGGCAUCUUCUUGGUGAACGUUGCUGCACUUGACUGUGUGGAGCGCUACCCAGGACUUUUACUUUGAGGAAAUUAGAGUGUUUCAAGCAGGCAUACGCCUUGAAUACAUUAGCAUGGAAUAAUAAGAUAGGACCUCGGUUCUAUUUUGUUGGUUUCUAGAGCUGAGGUAAUGAUUAAUAGGGAUAGUUGGGGGCAUUCGUAUUUAACUGUCAGAGGUUAAAUUCUUGGAUUUGUUAAAGACGGACUACUGCGAAAGCAUUUGCCAAGGAUGUUUUCAUUG